rnacentral:rRNA from 1 species
UGGGCUCGAGUUGCAGAGCCCAAUCCGAACUGAGACGGCUUUUUGAGAUUUGCGAAGGGUCGCCCCUUAGCAUCUCCAUUGUCACCGCCAUUGUAGCACGUGUGUAGCCCAGCCCGUAAGGGCCAUGAGGACUUGACGUCAUCCCCACCUUCCUCGCGGCUUAUCACCGGCAGUCUCCUUAGAGUGCUCAACUAAAUGGUAGCAACUAAGGACGGGGGUUGCGCUCGUUGCGGGACUUAACCCAACAUCUCACGACACGAGCUGACGACAGCCAUGCAGCACCUGUGCUCCAGGCUCCGAAGAGAGGGCCACAUCUCUGCGACCGGUCCUGGACAUGUCAAGGGCUGGUAAGGUUCUGCGCGUUGCGUCGAAUUAAACCACAUGCUCCACCGCUUGUGCGGGCCCCCGUCAAUUCCUUUGAGUUUAAUCUGCCGACCGUACUCCCAAGGCGGAAUGCUUAAAGCGUUAGCUGCGCCACUAGUGAGUAAACCCACUAACGGCUGGCAUUCAUCGUUUACGGCGUGGACUACCAGGG